CGUAAAAAGUUUAAAUAUGAAACUGUUUUGUACUUUAUCAAUUAUAAACAUAGGUAAGUUUAACAGUUAAACUUAUUCGGUAUAACAAUUUAAACUAGGCGUGAAUAACCGGCGACAAUUUUUAUCAGUGUAUUCGCCUUCGAGUUGAUCAGCCGCGCGCGGAUGUAAACAUGCAGAUUCGUUUUCAAACGUUUUCCCGAAACGCUCCUAAAUCAGUUCAGUUCCGACGAUCUGGCCAUCCCAGGACAUUGUUUAUUUAAUUUAAUUUAAAACUAGACCAGCAACAGCAUAAGGGCACCGUACUGGCUGUCGAUUCAUCCUUGUCCCGACCGGCAGGAGAGGAAACGUCCUCGAUCAAAGCAGAAUCUACCUCGUCCAGCAGUGCCACUUCAACAGCGGCAUCCAGACAUCAAGUUGGAACCGGUAAUUAGGAUUAAAUAACUGUCCGCGGCAUGCUACAAACUCGUCAUCAUAACGACAACCAACAAGCUACUGCAAUCUGCCAAGAAAUCCGAUCUCAAAAACGUGGUCAUAAGUUCGGCACUGUCUAGAGACCUUCGUCAUCGGGAUCUCCGCGAACAGCUACAAUCAUCGACGCUUGUUCCUCGAGGAAUUCAGCCUGAAGCACCAGAUUAUUGUUGUACGGCAACAGAGUGCGGCUCUAAAGCCAGAUCAGGAUGCAUUCUCGACCAAGACGGAGAAGGUGGCCACAGCAUCGAAGUGUCAACAGAGGUGGCGGACGAAAACUGGAAGCAGUCGAUACAUUUCGCACUGAUCGCAUACCACCAUUGCCAAAUACGCCUAGUACCUGACAUCCAGAUUUCUCGACAAAAUUGAGUCGCUACCAACCCUGGACCAUCCAGUUUUUCUACGGGAUGAACGGGACAAGCAGGCUGGCUUCGAUUCGGAAUCGUCAACGGCGCUGGAUCCGGAAAUGGCAAGCGAGAGAAGUGCAAAACCAUCAUGAAAUCCUUCACAAAAUGCUACGCUUGGGAACGAACGAUAACUUCCGAUGAACGCAAGUGAAAAACCCAACGGUGACCCAACUACAGGAACUACGGAAGCUUCCGUUGUAUCCGCGGCCAAUAUGCUCUUGUAUGUGGGUCAUAUGAUCCUGGGUAUCAACACGGUGCAGUUGUACAUGAAGGCACCGAGAUGCAGGACUUCCGGCCAGCAGGAAAACAACAAUUUGUGCUCAGUCAACAUCAACAUCUGGUCAAGCGAAUGGGAGUGGUGUGCACGCCAAAUUCCUACUGGGUUGCAUUCCGGGCAUUCCAGCGCUGAGAAAAGAUUAACAUCAACCUUAUUGGCACGGUACGUGGUGACCAGCGCAGGAGGACUGUUAUGCGGAGAACAUUUGUUUUAACGGUUUACCC